UGGCGACCGGCGCACGGGUGCGUAACGCGUAUGCAACCUACCUGUAACAGGGGGAUAACACUGAGAAAUCGGUACUAAUACCGCAUAACACUAUGAGAGGCAUCUCUUGUGGUUGAAAGUUUCGGCGGUUACAGAUGGGCAUGCGUUGUAUUAGCUGGUUGGUAAGGUAACGGCUUACCAAGGCGACGAUACAUAGGGGGACGUGAGAGGUUAACCCCCCACCAUUGGUACUGAGACACGGACCAAACUCCUACGGGAGGCAGCAG
rnacentral:rRNA from 1 species